rnacentral:lncRNA from 1 species
AAUAUUAAAUAGAAGCCAUAUGGUAUAGUCUUUUUCAUACUUUUGCAGAAGGUGAUUAAAGGCUUCCCUGUUAAUUCCAUUUUGGCUUUUUGUUUUAAUCAGCUACUCAAACACCUGGCAGCCCAGCUCUCUUCAGCUCAGCUGAGCUCCUGACAAAUUGAUGCAGUGAGCAGGGUAGUCGAUUAAGCACAGUGCGAUUCUGGAAAAAUGAAAAGACAGAAGAGCUCACAGGGCACUUUUAGAAGGUGCUAGUAAAGUCUGUGGGCAUUCUAGAGGGGUGAAGAUGAUUGUUUCCCAGACCCUGAGAAUCCCUUGGGGGUGCUUCACCAGUGGGUAUCUGGAAACGCUAGUGGGUCCUGUGGGGCAUUUCACUAGCCAUAGCACUUCUCAAGAAGUGCCAGCAGAAGCUGCAGGGUAUCCUUGGAGGGCGUAUGGAUUGUUUAUAGAAACUUUUUAGUUCUGAAGAGGAUCAAUGGUCCUUUUAGCUGCUAACCCCUGCCUGAGCUCCCCUGGUGUGUUAGAUUGGAUAUCCCACAGAGAGGUUUGGAGAAAGAUAAGGAAGCUGUUUUCUUGCCAUGGGCAAUGGAGCCAGAGAUGGUCCACAGGGCUCCUGCAAGCUGGGCAACCUCAAGCAGGUCCAAGGCAUCAGAGAAGAAUAAAAAAAGAAAGGAAAGAAAGAAAGAAAGAAGGAAAGGAAGAAAGAAAGAAAGGAAGAAAGAAAAAGAAAGGAAGGAAGGAAGGAAGGAAGAAACAAAGAAAGAAAGAAAGAAAGAAAGAGAAAGAAAGAAAAGAAAGAAA